rnacentral:rRNA from 1 species
UUUUGUGGCCAAACCUUCUCAUCAAAGCUUGAUCUCAUUAGAUCUAAGAAGCUAACGAAGGCCGGGCCUGGUGAGUACUUGGAAGGGAAAGCUCUGGGAAUACCAGGUGCCACAGUGG